rnacentral:tRNA from 1 species
UGCCCGGUGGUGUAACGGUAGCACAACAGAUUUUGAUUCUGUUUGCCCAAGUUCGAAUCUUGGCCGGGCAA